CUCCCGAGUAGCUGGGACUACAGGCAUCUGCAACCACGCCCGGCUAAUUUUUUGUAUUUUUAGUAGAGACGGGGUUUCACCUUGUUAUCCAGGAUGGUCUCGAUCUCCUGGCCUCGUGAUCCGCCCGCCCUGGUCUCCCAAAGUGCUGGGAUUACAAGCGUGAGCCACCGCGCCCGGCCAAGUUAAGGAUUUUGAAAUGAGGAGAUUAUUUUAAAUAACUCAGGUGGGACCUAAAUGCCAUCAUAAAUAUCCUCAUAAGAGAGGCAGAGAAAUUAGAUGUACAGAAGUGAAGCAGGUCAUGUGAAGAUGGAGGCAGAGAUUGGUAUAAUACAACCCCAAACCCCAAGGAAUGACCGAAUCUACCAGAAGCUGGGAAAUACAAGAAACAAGGUCUCACUUUGUUGCCCAGGCUGAAGUGCAGUGGCAUGGUCGUAAUUUAUUGCCUCCUCAAAUUCCUGGGAUGAAGAGAUCCUCUUGCCUCAGCCUCCUGAGUAGCUGGGACAACAGACACGUACCACAUGCUGUCCAAUCUUCUUUUUAAAUUUUUUUUCUAGAGGCUAGGUCUCACCAUCUUGCCCAGGCUUGUCUUUGAACUCCUGGCCUCAAGCCAUCUUCCCACCUCAGCCUCUCAGAAAUGUUGAUUUUAAAUAACACUGACUUAAGAUCCACAUGCAUUUUAAGUACAUAUUCAAAAUGUUAUUUUAAAACAAGACAAAAUGUUUGUUUAUUUACAAAGGGCAUGAAUAAUUAUUUGUGUGUUAAAUGAAUCUUUCUUGAAAUUACAAAUCAAAGACAUUAAAGAUAAAGAAAUAAGACUGAUAUAAAUGAGUUUGUUUAGUUGCCAUAGAAAUCCCGUUUUUGUGUUUUGAAGUUGAUAUAACGUGUAAUUUAUUAAUGCAGUAUUUGUAAAACUAAUGGUAGAAAUCGCAAGGUAUAAUUUUAUGGAUAGUCAGAUAACAAUUAAAGUAUAUAAACUGAUAUAACCAC
rnacentral:lncRNA from 10 species